CACUAGACCUUCUGGAUCGGUCACGACAGUUAGAAGCACCUCCAGAAGAUCAACGAUAUCCACGCUUCUGCCAACUACCUCUAGAACCACUCAGUCUAGAAGCACUGUGUUUCCAACUUCUUCUGACAUUACACCAUCAACACAAUGGCCAAUAUCAUCACAAACGACAAUAAUACCAACCACUUCAUCAACACAGAUGACAAUGGCGCCAUCUUCUGGUAGUAGUGAGGAGAGUGAUUCUUCCAAUAGUGAUAGCAGCGAGAAAAAGAGAAAGAAGGAAUGGAAGAAGAAAUUGAAGAAAAUGGAAAAAGAAAGAAAGAAAAAUGAAAAGAGGAUGAAAGCUUUGAGGAAGAAAAAUGAAAAGAGAAUGAAAGCUCUGAGGAAGAAAUACGAAAAGCUAAUAAUGC